rnacentral:siRNA from 1 species
GUUGUAAGCAUGUGUCUUCUCUGC